rnacentral:tRNA from 1 species
AAGAUUUUAAGUUACAUUAAACUAUAUACCUUCAAAGUAUGAAAAAAUCAAUAUUGAUUAAAUCUUA